AGUUAUAUGUCGCUUUGUGACAGAUAUGUCCUAAGAAAUGCAUUGUGAGGCAAUUCCAUCAUUGCACAAACAUUAUGGAGUGUACUUACAUAAACCUUGAGUGUAGUCUACUGCACACCUGGGCAAUAUGGUAUAGCGUAUUGCUCCUAGGCUGCCAACCUGCACAGCAUGUUAUUGUACUGAACAAUGUAGGCAAUGUAACGCAAUGAUAUUUGUGUAUCUAAACAUACCUAAAUGCAGAAAUGCUGCAGUAGAUAUACAACAUAAAAGAUUGUUUUUAAGUCCACCUGUAGAAGGCACUUACCAUGAAUUGAACUUGCAGGCUUGGAAAUAUCUCUGGGUGGUGCAUGACUGUAGAACUUUAAGCAAUGAUGAAAAUGCUCUAUAUCCACACUAUCCAAUAUGGUAACCACUAGCCACUUGUGACUACUGAGUGUCUGAAAGGUUCUGCUUGAAUUCUUGCCCUGGCUCUUGGUGAAGGAUCGGCCUGCUGGAUCUGAGUCAUCCACCUAUAAGAGGGACAACACCACACAUUGGUCGCUGCUCUCAAGCCCCUGGAAUACCACCCCACUUGGCUUCUCCUGGUAACAGUGGCUGCCUUUGCUUGCCUGUCUCCAACUCCUCCCAAGAGCAUUGCUGACUGGAUGGGCUCUCACUAUAGCCCUGUUCUGGAACUCCUGGGCUCAAGCCAUCCUCCCACUUUGGCCUCCCCAAAAUGCUGGGAUUACAGGCGUGAACCACCGCAUCUAGCCUAAAAUUAUAUUGUUAAAAGACUUUGUUUCUCAGUUUGGGAUAAUCAGAAUUCAUAGUUCUGAUCUCGACUACCAGUUUUAAUGAGGUACUUCUUUCUAACUCCAUCAGCUGUGUGGCUAUCUGCAGGUACCACCCACAUAAACAAAAACUUUUUGGGAGUCCUCCAGAAUUUUUAAGAGUUAUCUAAACUAUUGCCUUUAAUGACCAGGAACUCCAAUUUGAGAAGUUACCCUACGUUAAGCCAACAGCAGCCUGGCUCCUUCAUCCUGUGCAGUAUGGGACAGAGCUGGGUCCUUGUUGUCAUCAGCCAGACAAGCACACAUUAAAGCCCACCUUAGCCAUUGGCAUUACAGCUUUAAAAGCAGCUCCAUCCUACCAUGCUGUCACUCUACUCAAUCACGUGAUCUUAACGACCAGCUCUACAUAUCCUCUCUCCAUGCCCCCACCACCAUCCCCCACCAACAUUCUGCUAUCAGCUACAGGUCUGGGUUUGUGUCUCCGACAAAGAACCACCUCAAAGCCCCACAGAAAAGGACUGUACCGUAUACUUCAAACUAUUGACACCUCAAAGAACAGAGCUUGGGUUCAGGCUUCUGAUGCAUUCUGAGACACUCUCAGACCAUACCAGUGGGCUGGGUCAGGAUUUACAGAACUAUUUUCAUUUCAAGAGCAUACGGGCUCAUGAGAUUGCUAACUCAAGAUCCGGUGGAACAGAAAUACUUAUAUCGGACUGAAUAAACUGAUGAGGAAAAUGAGCCAGCUGCCAUGUCAUGCAGACACUCAAGCAGCCCUAUGGAGAAGCCACAUGGAGAGGGGCUGAGGCCUGUUUCCCACAGCCAUGUGAGUGGGCCAUUCCGGAAGCAGAUCAUCCAGCCCUCGCCAAGCUGACAGACGACUGCAUCCCCAGCCAACAUCUAGACUGGAGCCUCACGAGAGACCAACCCGGAGACCCCACCCAGC
rnacentral:lncRNA from 1 species